rnacentral:rRNA from 1 species
UACGUAGGCAGCAAGCGUUGUUCGGAAUUACUGGGCGUAAAGAGUGUGUAGGCGGUGCUCCAAGUCUGGUGUGAAAUCUCCCGGCUUAACUGGGAGGGUGCAUUAGAAACUGGAAUGCUAGAGGAUGGGAGAGGUAAGCGGAAUUCCUGGUGUAGCGGUGAAAUGCGCAGAUAUCAGGAGGAACACCAAUGGCGAAGGCAGCUCGCUGGGACGGUACUGACGCUGAGACGCGAAAGCGUGGGGAGCGAACAGG